rnacentral:rRNA from 1 species
UACGAAGGGGGCUAGCGUUGUUCGGAAUCACUGGGCGUAAAGCGCACGUAGGCGGCUUGUUAAGUCGGGGGUGAAAUCCUGAGGCUCAACCUCAGAACUGCCUUCGAUACUGGCAAUCUCGAGUCCGGAAGAGGUGAGUGGAAUUCCGAGUGUAGAGGUGAAAUUCGUAGAUAUUCGGAGGAACACCAGUGGCGAAGGCGGCUCACUGGUCCGGUACUGACGCUGAGGUGCGAAAGCGUGGGGAGCAAACAGG